AAAAAAGUAGUAGAUUGAUUAAGAUAAUAUUAGGGAUAAUGUUCCACAUCGGAAGUUAAGUAGGAUCUUAAGUGGUAUAUAUAAGAUAUGGGCCUCUCCACCUAUUGCCAAUUAGUUUUAGGUUGGAAGCCCACACUCUAAUAUGGUAUCAUAGCCCGAUCCGUACAUACUCAACCCGAUCCACAUCGAUCCGGCCCAAUACUUGGCUCGCCGAUCCAUGCCCAAACAUAUCGAGAUCAAUGGCUAGAAGAGCCAUCAUCUCGAGGGGGCGUAUUAGGAACAAUAUUCCACAUCGAAAGUUGAAUAGAAUCUUAAGUGGUAUAUAUAAGAUAUGGGCCUCUCCACCUAUUGCCAAUUGGUUUUAGGUUGGAAGCCCACACUCUAAUAGAUAGAAGCUUCGAUAAAAGAAAAAAACAAUCAAGCUAUUUAUAGGUUU
rnacentral:sRNA from 1 species